UUUUUUUUAAAAUCGUUUUUUUAUAAAAUUUUAUCAACGAUAUGUACACACUAAACUUUUACCAUAUCACUCCAUUAUCUAAUACGACAUAUUGCCACAAGAAAGAAUAAUUUUUUUUUUUUUCUAAAAAUGUUUUAAUCUGCCUAAUAAGUAAAAAAUAAAAAAUAUAGGUAUGUAUAUAUAUAUAUAUACGUACCUAUUUUCACCAUUUCAACAAAAUUAAUAUUUAUACAACAUUAAUACAUCGCUUUAUUUUAUUUUUUUUUUUUUUUUUUCACUUUUUAUUUACUUUUUUAACAAAAACUGGAAAAAAGUAAUUUUUUUUUUUUUUUAUCUGACAACAGUACAUUGACCGUUGGUUUAACACUGUUUUUUUUAUUUUAUAUAUAUAUAUAUAUAUAUUGUUAAGUACUGAUUCUUUAUUAUUAACAGUUGAUAUAAAAAUGAAAAUAUUCACAUGGGAGAACGGCAUAAAAGCAUCCUUUGGGGUACUAGGUAUAAUUUACUUUCUAUAUUUGAAAAGGUUUGUAAAACAAGAAUGGGAAAUUUAUCAGGUGAAAAUUAGAGAGAAAGAUAUUAAUACGAAUAAAGUACAAAUUGGUGAAGAUCAUGAAAAUGUCAAACGCAUUUUAGAAGAAGAGAGGAGUAAAAAAUAUAAAAGGACAUUUAACUAUAAUGAUAAAAAAAUAUAAAAUUAAAAAAGAGAAAAAAAAAAAAAUGUUAUAUCUAUAUAUAUAUAUAUGUGUAUAUAUGUAUAUAUAUAUUUAUAUACUCUUUUAUUUUGUUUACUUUGGUUAUUUCGUUUAUUUAUUUUUUUGGUUGUAAACACUUUAACAACAUUUGCUUUAUUUUCAUAAGACAUGUACUACAAAAAUAUAAUUAUAAAAACCACAUUACCACUUUUUUUUAAUUAAUUUUUUUAUUUAUUUUUUUUUUGUUUCAACAUUUAUGUUUUUACAAAUCGAGGCCAAUUAUUAUUAAUAGACAAAUUGUAGCUAGUCAAGUAAAAUAUGCUUUUAUAUAUAUAUAUAUAUAUAUACGAUCAUGCCUGUAUAUAUUUACAUAACUUUUUUUUUUUUUUUUUUUCUUUUUUUUUAAUGCAUUUAUAAUUCUUUAAUAGGGAACAUACUAUUGUAAUACUUCCUCACACCUACACCAACAUAUAUUAAAAACUACACACACACACACACACGGAUAUGUAUGUAUAUGUUCCUGUUUGUACACUGUAUACGCCUAAGUAGGUGUAGUUCAUUUGUCCCUAUUAGCCAUUUAUAUUUUAUAAAACGAUACCUUUUCCUUAUUUUUGCUUAUUUUUCCUUAUUUUUUUUUAGUUCAUUAAAUUAUUAUAUUUGUAUUAAAAAUAGUUAUAACUUAUAUAUUUCCAAAAAAUAUUUCUAUCAUUUUUAGAUUCGAAAAAAAAUAUUUAAAUUCAGAAAACAUCUAACAUGUUUAGAAAAUUGUCUUAAUUUGUUUUUAUGUAUAUAUGUAUGUACAUGCUUCAUUAUUUCAGUUUUAUGGUAUAACUGAAAAAAGGUUAAAAAUGAAUGUAACAAAAAAAAAUUAAAUAAAUAAAUAAAUAAAUAAUAAAAAAUAAAAAAU
rnacentral:lncRNA from 1 species